rnacentral:rRNA from 1 species
UUUAUGGAGAGUUUGAUCCUGGCUCAGGAUGAACGCUGGCGGCGUGCCUAAUACAUGCAAGUCGAGCGAACGGACGAGAAGCUUGCUUCUCUGAUGUUAGCGGCGGACGGGUGAGUAACACGUGGAUAACCUACCUAUAAGACUGGGAUAACUUCGGGAAACCGGAGCUAAUACCGGAUAAUAUUUUGAACCGCAUGGUUCAAAAGUAAAAGACGGUCUUGCUGUCACUUAUAGAUGGAUCCGCGCUGCAUUAGCUAGUUGGUAAGGUAACGGCUUACCAAGGCAACGAUGCAUAGCCGACCUGAGAGGGUGAUCGGCCACACUGGAACUGAGACACGGUCCAGACUCCUACGGGAGGCAGCAGUAGGGAAUCUUCCGCAAUGGGCGAAAGCCUGACGGAGCAACGCCGCGUGAGUGAUGAAGGUCUUCGGAUCGUAAAACUCUGUUAUUAGGGAAGAACAUAUGUGUAAGUAACUGUGCACAUCUUGACGGUACCUAAUCAGAAAGCCACGGCUAACUACGUGCCAGCAGCCGCGGUAAUACGUAGGUGGCAAGCGUUAUCCGGAAUUAUUGGGCGUAAAGCGCGCGUAGGCGGUUUUUUAAGUCUGAUGUGAAAGCCCACGGCUCAACCGUGGAGGGUCAUUGGAAACUGGAAAACUUGAGUGCAGAAGAGGAAAGUGGAAUUCCAUGUGUAGCGGUGAAAUGCGCAGAGAUAUGGAGGAACACCAGUGGCGAAGGCGACUUUCUGGUCUGUAACUGACGCUGAUGUGCGAAAGCGUGGGGAUCAAACAGGAUUAGAUACCCUGGUAGUCCACGCCGUAAACGAUGAGUGCUA